AAGAAAAGAGAGAGAGAGAGAGAACGUAAAGAGUGAAAAAGUUACCAUCUGACUGAAAAGUAAGUUAAAAAGAGAAAAGCACUGUCGGCUGGGCUGACUCUGAAGUCUGAAGCAACAUCGACAUUCACGCAACUGAAAGUGGACCACUUGGCAUUGGCAGUUCCUUUUAUUUAAUAUUCAUCUUCAUGUGGAGUCAUUUACGUACCCCUCAACCCCAUCACCACACAACUACCACCAAGUAACGAAUCAAAUUAAAAGAAUCGUUUAAGAAAUGGAGAAAGGUUAGGUGCUUAGGUUACACUAAUAAUAUAUAUCGUCACGUUUACACUUACUACAGGCUAGGCUACAACAUCCAUCUAAUCAAGGACCCUAUAAUUUUACUCCCGACUACAUGCGACUUUAAGAUGGCAGCACAAUGAGGACAACCAUAUAUAUAUACACUCUCCAGCCAUGAAUGCUAGUUUCUAGUAAAUAUUUACACAUACCCAACUCUCCAUUUUCGUCAGCAUAAGAGUUAGCGCAUCGAUCUGAGCUAUACUUUCAGAGCUAGAAAACUUGCUUUUCCUCUCCGAUCACAUUAAGAGACAUAUAUGGACCUCCACAAAUCAGGUAACAUCAAUUCUCUGCUCUAUAUAUGUAUAUAUGUAGACCAUAACAUAAUACCCUCAUCUAUUUAGCAUUCCAGGAGGGACAAUGUCCCCAAGCAGUCCUUCAUCUAUUGGAAUCUGUGGGGUUAGCUCUCUCAGUGUACCGGAUUCAACUGUUUGAACGGGUAUUUGUUGUGACCGUGUAAUAGUUGGAGGACUUUCUCUAGGUAACUGAAUUCCAGGAUAAUAGAAUUGCGAAACUGGGGGAGUCAAGUGGUUGACUAAUGUCGCUUCAUGGCUAAUGAUUCCACCUCG
rnacentral:misc_RNA from 1 species